UGUUCUCUGUGUUGCAAAACACAACAUGCCUGUGAUGUGAUUUUGGUACUAACCUACUGACUUCCUGCAGGGAGGAUUUCCUGGUGGAAUGGGGGGGGGCUUUCCUGGUGGCAGAAUGGGUGCCAUGGUGGAGGUUAUCCAGGAGCAGGAAUGGGGUGAGCUGAGAAAUAAUGCUUCUCCUGGAUAUCUGUUUCCACUGCCAGGAUUUCCACCCUGACUGAGACUCUGCCCUGUUCCUUGCCGGGUUUCCUAGCCAACUGUGUCAGCUAUGUGUGGGGGGGAGAAAGAGAGAGGUGGGGGGCGACUGUGUGUUAAUUUGGAGUUUGCUGUGAUUAAAAAUUUGUAUGACGUUUUGUGUAUGAACUUGUUUUUCCCUAUUUUUGGACUUCGUCUUUCGCGUCGCCCCUCCUACUUCGGUAGCUGUAUAUA